CGGUAGAGUUUGUAGUCCUGGCGUCAGGAUGAACGCUGGCGGCGUAGCCUAAUACAUGCAAGUCGAGCGAACAGAUAAGGAGCUUGCUCCUUUUGACGUUAGCGGCGGACGGGUGAGUAACACGUGGGUAACCUACCUAUAAGACUGGAAUAACUCCGGGAAACCGGGGCUAAUGCCGGAUAAUAUUUAGAACCGCAUGGUUCUAAAGUGAAAGAUGGUUUUGCUAUCACUUAUAGAUGGACCCGCGCCGUAUUAGCUAGUUGGUGGGGUAAUGGCUUACCAAGGCAACGAUACGUAGCCGACCUGAGAGGGUGAUCGGCCACACUGGAACUGAGACACGGUCCAGACUCCUACGGGAGGCAGCAGUAGGGAAUCUUCCGCAAUGGGCGAAAGCCUGACGGAGCAACGCCGCGUGAGUGAUGAAGGUCUUCGGAUCGUAAAACUCUGUUAUUAGGGAAGAACAAAUGUGUAAGUAACUGCGCACGUCUUGGCGGUACCUAAUCAGAAAGCCACGGCUAACUACGUG
rnacentral:rRNA from 1 species